rnacentral:rRNA from 1 species
UACCGUGAGGGAAAGUUGAAAAGCACUCUGGAGAGAGAGUCAAAAGACCGUGAAACCGCUCAGAGUAUAAGCCCAUGGCAGCUUGGAAGGCAUAUCGCUAGCGGGGCACUGGAAUCUGACCCUUAACGGGGGAGGGGAGCCGGUGUUACCUUGCUUUUGUUGUGGCUCGUCAAGGUAGGGGGGUCAAGUCCACAUCCCGCCGACGAGUGGAGAGUUCUCGGGUGCGUUGAUGCUUGGCGGUUGACUUCGGUUGAUCGUCGGGCUCUUCGUGCUUGGUUCUCUUUGUACACGGACGUUCAGACUCAAUUGCAAGACGCGAUAACCAGCCCACCACGGCACGUUGUGAGGUCACCCACAGGCUCGACUUUCGAUCGUGGUCCUUGACGCCGAGCAAGCACAAUGCGUGUCGCAGAUGUUCCUUACCAGGCAGCCAUCCGCCAGGAUCGUGGAACGACACGCGCUCAACAGUCAGGACCGGGCGAUGACAGAGUUCUGGUAUGAUCCUCUUGCGACGAGCCGGCUUCUGGCCAAAAUUCCGAUGCACAGUUCUCCCGCAUGUGCCGCGGGAGAUCGAGUCGACGGUCUGGAGCUUUCACAAGUCCUCUCAGUCGGGCAACGGAAAGAGUGGUGUAAAGUCCAAGCCCAUCGGUCACGUCUCGAAACACGGGCCAA